rnacentral:lncRNA from 1 species
ACAAUUUUCUCUAUUAUUAUAGAUUGCCUAACUCGAGACGUGAACAGUUGCAUCAUGAGAAAAGAACAAUACAUUAUUAAUUACAAAUCAUGUUUGAUCAGGGGAAUGGAACUAGAAGACCAGAAUGGGGUUUACGUCCCAGCGAGGGAACAGGGGCGAGGGACAAUUGCCACACCCUCGACGGCCAUUCUUAUCCCACGCGAGGACUAUCUCAGAUCCGACGAGCAACCAGACUGUUUUGGGGUGUCAUAUUUUGAUAUUUUGCAUCAUCUGUUGGGAUGCUCUGAGACGGCGACAUACAUAAGAAAAAAGAAAGGCAGAAGAAGCUCGAGUACUACUAAAUCAUCAUUAUAACCAUUGUUCAACAGUCAGAGAAAUAAAAAAAAGCAGACGAUGAAGCUAAGUACUACUAAACCAUAUACAUCCACAAGUCCAAUCAUUCUGCUUUCUCCGAAGCAUCGAAAAGGUUGAUAAAUCUGAUCGUUAAUCACUCUGCUUCUUCCUGGGUUCGAAAAAAGGGCCCCGCUCUUCAUGGGAACGCCAGUAAAGUAUUCCAGAGAUUCCUGCAAAUAAGGCCGUUACGUACCCAGCAGCAAGGGGUAAGAACAUUUUGUUCCUAGGCGACCUACAAAUAAUAAAUGAGUUAAGACAAAUUUAUAAGUUUGACAGGAAAACAUCUACACAAUUAAGUAGUGCAUAAUUACCAUAUUGGUGGAGGAGAUGUGGCUUGUGCAUUAUUGAUUGGUGGAGAAGCCGCCGCAGGAUUUGCCCCGGACAUGGCUCCAGGCUGCAAAGAAAUAUACUAUUAGAUGAUUCUUGU